GCUUGCUUCUUCUGAUUUAGCGGCGGACGGGUGAGUAACACGUGGGCAACCUGCCCUGUAGAUUGGGAUAACUCCGGGAAACCGGGGCUAAUACCGAAUAAUCCAUUUCCUCACAUGUGGGAAUGUUAAAAGACGGUUUCGGCUGUCACUACAGGAUGGGCCCGCGGCGCAUUAGCUAGUUGGUGGGGUAAUGGCUCACCAAGGCGACGAUGCGUAGCCGACCUGAGAGGGUGAUCGGCCACACUGGGACUGAGACACGGCCCAGACUCCUACGGGAGGCAGCAGUAGGGAAUCUUCCACAAUGGACGAAAGUCUGAUGGAGCAACGCCGCGUGAGUGAAGAAGGUUUUCGGAUCGUAAAACUCUGUUGUGAGGGAAGAACAAGUACGAGAGUAACUGCUCGUACCUUGACGGUACCUCAUUAGAAAGCCACGGCUAACUACGUGCCAGCAGCCGCGGUAAUACGUAGGUGGCAAGCGUUGUCCGGAAUUAUUGGGCGUAAAGCGCGCGCAGGCGGUCCUUUAAGUCUGAUGUGAAAGCCCACGGCUCAACCGUGGAAGGUCAUUGGAAACUGGGGGACUUGAGUGCAGAAGAGGAAAGUGGAAUUCCAAGUGUAGCGGUGAAAUGCGUAGAGAUUUGGAGGAACACCAGUGGCG
rnacentral:rRNA from 1 species